GAUGAACGCUAGCGGCAGGCUUAAUACAUGCAAGUCGAGGGGCAGCGGGGGUAGCAAUACCUGCCGGCGACCGGCAAACGGGUGCGGAACACGUACACAACCUUCCUUUAAGCGGGGGAUAGCCCAGAGAAAUUUGGAUUAAUACCCCAUAGAAUGUUAGUGAGGCAUCUCACAGGCAUUAAAGAUUUAUCACUUGAAGAUGGGGUGUGCGUCUGAUUAGGUAGUUGGCGGGGAACGCCCACCAAGCCAGCGAUCAGUAACUGGU
rnacentral:rRNA from 1 species